AAUGCAUUACUCUUUUGAAGUAACUUGCCCAACACUGAUUGGUACUACUAACAAACACACACCAUCAUGAAUUUAUGAACUAUGAAUAUAAUCUCACAAGCAGAUGUUUUAUGCAGCCAUUUAAAUAACUGCUAUGUGAUUUACAGGUGCAGCAAUGCGAAGAAAGGCCCACAUGCUGCGUACAACGCUUACAAACAGUUUGUGCAGAUUGACACGACAGCACUUUUCCUUGUGGCAGCAAUGGAACAUUUUCAUUUGGAUGAUGUCACAGCUACUCCAGACGGCUUAGUACCAGACCACAUCCAGCAAGGCUCUGCAGAACAGAAGAGGACCUGGCUCCAUGACUCUGUGGCAGAGGUCGUUGACAAGUUUUUAAUGUCUACAGACAUUGCUGACCUGACAGCUGGCGUUACUGAAGCGGCAACAGCCCAACGCACUGAGAAGGAGAAGCUCCCUUGUCGUGAGCCAGGUUGCAAGAAAGUUUUCAUUUAUCGAAAAGCCAGAGAGACCCACGAAGAGAAAGUCCACAGUUUUGUGGUGGCAUCUAUGCCAGUUGUUGAGCCGGCUUCCUCUGGUCUGAUUGACCACAAAAAACAGCAUACUGAGGCCAGGCUUAGCUUUGGAUUUCUGCUAUUCGAUAUGUUGGAUGCAGUGAAAGAGGGAGAUGGGGAGCGCUUGAUAAGGCUGUACAAGGUGGCACUACUGAUUUACAAGGCUUACGGGCACACUAAUUAUGCCUACAGCACUUUCCUCUUGACUGUACAAAUCAAUGCAACAAUGUCCCCUUAGGGUUAAACAUGAUGUAACCUGGAACCGAUUCUGGAAUAGUAGCGGCGGGAAAGGGAAAAAUGUUCCUCUUGAUCUGCACCUCGAGCACCUCAACAACUUCCUGAAAUCUUUUUUGAGGAAUAAAGGCACCAACCUGGCAGAGAAAACAGCUGACAGGGUCAGCAGGUCUGUUGGUUUAUUAAAAACCCUGAUGGAUACAACAGACGGAGAGCUGCAGCUAUCCCGGCCCAGUGGCAUCCACCAUGCAGAUCUAAAAAACAACAUUUUAAUGGUGCUUCAGGUAUUAAGGAACACUGAGGUUUUCAACCAGCAACCGGGAAGACACUUCUCUGCAUUCCCUAAAUUUAACACAAACAUUCUGUCCAAGCUAAACUAUAAUGACGUGUGGCGAUGGAUGCGUUGCAGGCUGAAAGACUGGAGGACUGUUGUUCUUUAAUCAAUUACCUACCUGGUCUGUAAUGGUCCUAGCCUUGUCCUGCCAGACUAUUUCAUUUGAAGCUUUUAUAGAAGGCCUAUUUGUAUGAAUGUGUAAAUAGUUCAUAUUGUUAUGCAAGUACUUUUUGGUUGAAUUAGUAAAAAAAAAAACACUUUUUCAUAGUACGUCUCGUUUCUAUUAUAACUUAAUUAGGGUCUUACAAGUAUGUGUUUUGUACACUUUUAUUUAGUUUUGUAGAAUUGCACAAAUACCAACCAAACACAUACAAAACAAUAUACAACUGACACCAAUCAUGUUCCUGCACAAGUACACAAAGGGGUUUGAAGUGUUCUGUACAUCACAAGCAUCACAGAAUUCACUGUUCAGACUCAGAGCUACUGACAUGGCUCGUGAGUGUAUCUUCAACAUCAUCAUCAACAUUGUCGAAGUAGUUACUGAAAUAGAGAUCUGGGUCAGUUAAAUACCUCUCUGAAUCAUAUUGCAGAUCCCCAUCAAUAUCCCCAAAAACAUCACUGAUGAUAAUUAAAAUCUCCUUUGCAUGGUCCAAUCUAAACACAGGAAGGUUAGCACUAAUGUAUGCCAGGUCAAAUAUGUAUUGACAGUGGGUCAAUACUGCAUCCACCAGUUGCUGACUGAAUCCAGUGCAGGCUGCAUGUGAGGUGUACAGUGGAUUGGAUGAAUUGAUCAAACUAUCUCUGUAGUCAUUCAGCAAAUCUGCAAUUAAAGACUUGUCAUUUGCAUCCACAUGCCUAGAUCUCUGAUGAGUUGGUUCAGCUUCAAUCUGUUCAUAAUUGGGCAUGGGUUCUGUACAUGUGCCAGAUGAACAAGCGCAAACAGUCUGACAGUAUGUACAACAGAGAUGGCCUGGCUCUACAUGGCUGGGUUCUGCUUCAAAAUGUGCAUGGAGAGAUUUCCUGAAACAUGUGGUUUUUCCAACAGCAAGCAGUUUCUUUACCUCUUCAUCCACCUUGAAGUACUGCCCGGUGUUGUAGAGGAUGGCAUGUGAUGGCUGACCAUGCCUUCCAGCCCUGCCCGCCUGUUGUAAAAUGGCCUCUAGGUCACCUGGAGCCCCGUACAUUACCACGUGUGAAACAUUAGCAAAAUGCAACCCCAUCCCCAAAGCUGUUG